UACGGAGGGUGCGAGCGUUGUCCGGAUUUAUUGGGUUUAAAGGGUGCGUAGGUGGCUUUAUAAGUCAGUGGUGAAAUACGGUUGCUCAACAAUCGAGGUGCCAUUGAUACUGCAAAGCUUGAAAUAAUUGGAGGCUGCCGGAAUGGAUGGUGUAGCGGUGAAAUGCAUAGAUAUCAUCCAGAACACCGAUUGCGAAGGCAGGUGGCUACGAUUUGUUUGACACUGAGGCACGAAAGCAUGGGGAGCAAACAGG
rnacentral:rRNA from 1 species